GCCUCCAUAGAUCAGUGUUAGAUCACCUCCGCUGCGUGCGUUGCUUUCUAGGAUAAUUCGGAGCAGACGUAGGUUCGACUCCUACUGGAGGCA